rnacentral:rRNA from 1 species
GUUAGGAAUAUUGGACAAUGGGCGAAAGCCUGAUCCAGCCAUGCCGCGUGAACGAUGAAGGCCUUCGGGUUGUAAAGUUCUUUAGCCGAUGAUUAUAAUGACUGUAGUCGGAAAAUAAGCCCCGGCUAACUUCGUGCCAGAAGCCGCGGUAAUACGAAGGGGGCGAGCGUUAUUCGGAAUCACUGGGCGUAAAGCGUGCGUAGGCGGUUUUGUAAGUUAGGAGUGAAAGCCCAGGGCGCAACCUUGGAAUUGCUCUUAAAACUGCAAGGCUCGAAUCUCGGAGAGGAUAGCGGAAUUUCCAGUGUAGCAGUGAAAUGCGUAGAUAUUGGAAGGAACACCAGUGGCGUAAGCGGCUAUCUGGACGAGUAUUGACGCUGAGGCACGAAAGCGUGGGGAUCAAACAGGAUUAGAAGCCCGAGUAGUCC